ensembl:lncRNA
AUGACCCUCGGGGUCCCUUCCAACUCUAGGACCUCCUCAUACCCAAGUGCUAAACAUUUUGUCAAAAGACCCCUAGUUAAUACUGCAGUGUAUUCUUCCUACUGCUAUAUAUGCUUACUGGGUGGCUCAAGCAGGCAAAUGGCUGCCCACCAUCUCCACUGCCAUCACACCAUGGAGUGGGCAUGUUCAAGGGCUCUGUGGUUGCAGCAGCCAGGUACACAAGAUCUAGAUAAAAUUCAACUGAGCGCUGCUUUCCCUUUUGCCUGCCUCUAUAACAGCGGUUCUCAACCUCUGGUUCCCCAGAUGAUGGUGGAGAACAGCUGCUCUAUAAUCGACUGCAGGGUGGCACAAUGAGCACUUGAGUCAAUGGGAGGUCUGUGAACGACUCUCAAAUCCCCACUGAAUCCAUUCUCUUCACUUGAAGUUACUCAUUUUCUUAGGGCUGGACGGGCACACAAGGCCUUCCAUCCACCACGGUAGCCCCUUUGGUUGCCUAUGGAUCUCUAGACGGAAAACAGGGAUCUACUGAACCAUAUUGGGAUUCUCUGUGUGCACUAGUGUGUCUGCCCAUGUGGCGUCUAAAGAGUUUGGUUUGGGCAGGUCUGUAUACAUUCUUAGAGCCAUAAUCUCUCUGGAGAGAUUUUCGUUUAUUCUGUAAACAAGCAGUGAAAGCCCUAAAGAGCAAACUUAAAAGGAGUAACAACCUUGCGAUGGGUGUUUGACUUGAAAUCCAAUAGGGUAAUUGACAGGAAUGACUUGAAUGGACAAGACAUCAGUCAUAUGACGGCUGCACAAGUUAGUCUAUUUUAGCUGCUUGCAUUGUGCCAGCCCAUAAACUUGCAAAUGGAUUCUACGAUCCUGAUACGAUCUGAAGGCUCCCACAAUGUCAUGGGCACCUCUAAGGCCAUAUUAGUGCAUAGUUAAAGAAAAAGAAGGAAGAGUCACUGCUUCUGAAGGAAGAAAAAGCUAGAUUCCCCCCCACCAAAUGAAAAUAAUACAUUUAGCAACCUGACAACCGGUGUGCAUCCUACAUAAAAAUGUCCACUGGCCUUUUUAUUAUUUUAGUCACCUCAUAAUUUAUAAUAAAUAGGUUAAUCACAACCGAUAAAUAUGCAUCUUUAAGUAAACAAAGGAAUGAAGAAUUAGUGUUUAUACAGAGGAUGCGUACAUUUCAAAAUCAUAGAUAAUCAUUGAACUCUGCCAAUGAACAGAUUACUGGCUUCAAGAACAGUGUUCAGACACACAGGAUUAUUGUAAAAACCAUAACUGUGCUCUGUACCACAGCAAAUUUUCUUUAUCAAAUUAAAGUCACAACGAUUAAAACAAAGUAUCAUUUUUAAAAAGAUUUGUGACUUCUAGUUCCAAAACUAUCAUCGAUACAUAAAAUAAAACACUUCUUAAUGAUUUCCCAUUUGAGAAGCUUCACAUAAAAUUAUGGCAUCUCCUAGAAAAAACUUUUAAAUGAGAAAAAUAUCCCGCCCCGCCCCCAUUAAUAAAUUUUGUUUAUAUAAAACAGCUAAAGAAAGAGGCACCCCCAAAAAAUGUGGGAAAAAAUAUUGCAAAGGAGGUUAAUGCCUUGUUGCCCAAGGUUAAGUUCUUGACAAAGGUAUGAUCCAGCCAAAGUUAAGUACUUUUGCAGUGCAAUUAAGUAUGGAUAGGACUGCAGUCUCAACCAAACUCAACUGAGAGAUUUAAGUGUGCGCCCAACUCCUCCAAUGAAAUGAAUAGGACUUAGAGAUGCAGAGAGGCAAACUCCUGCUGGUUGCUUCUCUGCUAAGAGUUGCAACCUCCUCCUUGAUUCUAUGUCCUAUAUAGGACAUCUAUCUGGAGGUCCCAGGGCUUUAAUAUCAAAUGUAAUACAAAUAUAUGGAAAUAUAUAUCCAGAUCCUUACACUGGCAUACUGCGAAAUACCAUGGGUAGACAUUUUGUGGCAUGGCAAAGGACAGACACAAUUACGCCAGUCUAGCUAAUCGAUAACUUUUGUUUUUAACUUUGGCUGAAUUCUGGUCAAUGUUAUUAGAUAAGCUAAUCAAAGAGGGGAUGGAUGAUGUGCGUAUAGCAUCAAUAUUUUUGCACUCAACACGCACCCACACACACUUUUCUUUUUCUUUUACAAUCAAAUAUAUAUAAGCGUUAAGUUCAGCUUUCUAAAUAUGUUAGUGUACAAUAUUGUUCUGCCCCAUAUAAUUACAUUUGAAUAUUCUUGAUUAAGAAAAAUUUCAGCAGUUUUUCCCCCUCUCCUUCUUAAAAGAACGCUGCAUUUACAGUGCAUAGCUGUAACAAAAAGAAGCAUCGUCUUGUCAUACGGUAUGUACACAAAAUAAAAAUACUCCAUUUAACAUCUGUAAAUACUUAACUACAUUCAUGAAUGUAGUAUAUAAUCUAACUGUACAUCCACCACCCCUCCAACCCGCCCCCUGAAGAUUUGCCCUCAAUGUUUUUGUAGCGUAAUACCAUGUCGGCUCAUCGAAGGGAGAAAAACCACCCAAGAAGCUGGCUGUUAAUGAGGGUCUCGAAAUUUCUCUACGUAAAUGUUUUGGACGCUGACAUGGAUGUCACAAUUAAAAAGACAGAACUUUAAAACGCUAUGGAAGUUUUGAAUCCUUCCACCAUUUUCUGCCCUUCCCUUGCCUUCGUGAGAGAAGCACAAUGAAAGAUGGCGGACCUUGUGGAUCUGUAGAUUUCUUCAGGAUUGUCGUCAUUUUAAAACAACAUGGCGUGAGAAGAAGCUUCUUGAAUGAAACAAACAAACAAACAAAAUCCCAAAACCUGCAGUGUGUCUCAGGUUGUCAGCAGCGGAAGUUUGAAUUUGCUUCAUUUUGAAAAUGUUCUAUGUACACAAUUUCAGAGUUCGCAUAUAUUUUUUUUAAAAGGUUAUCUCUAUGGAACUGCUGCCAUGUCAAAUGGUUCUCGCUUGGCACUCUACAAAGAUCAAAACCCUCGCCCUCUUCACCCUGGAAAAGCAAAGUUGAGACUUGGAAGUACACAAUUGCUCACUUCAGACCCAUUUUGCCUCUUCAUUCCUUAAGCAGCUGUCCAUGUAAACUAUGUUUUUGUAUAUGGAGAGUGUGUGGAGUUAGGGAGAAAUUUGUAAGCGUGAAUUCUUCAUUGUUCGUUAUUGAAGGACUUGACGUCCAUGAGGUAUUCGCCAUCCCUCCAUU